rnacentral:lncRNA from 1 species
AUAGAUUCAAAUUUUUAUUUCAAUUUUGAUUUUAAUUUCAAUUUCGAUCAUUAAGUACUUUUAGAAAUUUAAUAAUUUUAAUUUUAAUUUUAAAUCAUUUCAUUUUUCAUUCUAAUUUUGAUUUCGAUCACGAAUCUAGCACAAUCUUAAUUCAUAUUCUUUUAUUUGUAUCAUCUCCAGAAAACAACGUAUUUUUGUCUCCCUC